rnacentral:rRNA from 1 species
GACGAACGCUGGCGGCGUGCUUAACACAUGCAAGUCGAACGGAAAGGCCCUGCUUGCAGGGUACUCGAGUGGCGAACGGGUGAGUAACACGUGGGCGAUCUGCCCUGCACUUCGGGAUAUGCCUGGGUAACUGGGUCGAGUACCGGAUAGGAGGCAUUGUGAGUGUGAUGGUUGGAAAGGUUUUUCGGUGUAGGUUGAGCUCGCGGCCUAAUAGCUUGUUGGUGGGGUAAUGGCCUACCAAGGCGGCAACGGGUAGCCGGCCUGAAAGGGUGGACGGCGACAUUGGGACUGAGAUACGGCCCAGACUCCUACGGGAGGCAGCAGUGGGGAAUAUUGCACAAUGGGCGCAAGCCUGAUGCAGCGACGCCGCGUGGGGGAUGACGGCCUUCGGGUUGUAAACUCCUUUCGCUAGGGACGAAGCUUUCUGUGACGGUACCUAGAUAAGAAGCACCGGCUAACUACGUGCCAGCCGCCGCCGUAA